AGGGCACCACCAGGAGUGGAGCCUGCGGCUUAAUUUGACUCAACACGGGAAAACUCACCCGGCCCGGACACCGUAAGGAUUGACAGAUUGAGAGCUCUUUCUUAAUUCGGUGGGUGGUGGUGCAUGGCCGUUCUUAGUUGGUGGAGCGAUUUGUCUGGUUAAUUCCGAUAACGAACGAGACUCUGGCCUAUUAAAUAGACGAGAUAUUAAAAAGUAUAUCGCACUUCUUAGAGGGACAAGCGGCGUCUAGUCGCGUGAAAAAGAGCAAUAUCUUUUUCUGUGAUGCCCUUAGAUGUCCGGGGCUGCACGCGCGCUACACUGAAAGUGCCAACGUGCAUUAAACCCUUAUCCGGAAGGAUUGGGUAACCCCACGAAAUACUUUCGUGAUUGGGAUAGGGAAUUGGAAUUAUUUCCCUUGAACGAGGAAUUCCCAGUAAGUGCGGGUCAUAAGCUCGCGUUGAUUACGUCCCUGCCCUUUGUACACACCGCCCGUCGCUACUACGGAGUGGACGAGCUAGU
rnacentral:rRNA from 1 species